GGAGCAUGUGGUUUAAUUCGAAGAUACGCGAAGAACCUUACCUGGGCUUGAUAUCCUAAGAACCUUUUAGAGAUAAGAGGGUGCUAGCUUGCUAGAACUUAGAGACAGGUGCUGCACGGCUGUCGUCAGCUCGUGUCGUGAGAUGUUGGGUUAAGUCCCGCAACGAGCGCAACCCACGUAUUUAGUUGCUAACGGUUCGGCCGAGCACUCUAAAUAGACUGCCUUCGUAAGGAGGAGGAAGGUGUGGACGACGUCAAGUCAUCAUGGCCCUUAUGCCUAGGGCGACACACGUGCUACAAUGGCAUAUACAAUGAGACGCAAUACCGCGAGGUGGAGCAAAUCUAUAAAAUAUGUCCCAGUUCGGAUUGUUCUCUGCAACUCGAGAGCAUGAAGCCGGAAUCGCUAGUAAUCGUAGAUCAGCCAUGCUACGGUGAAUACGUUCCCGGGUCUUGUACUCACCGCCCGUCACACCAUGGGAGUUGAUUUCACUCGAAGCCGGAAUACUAAACUAGUUACCGUCCACAGUGGAAUCAGCGACUGGGGUGAAGUCGUAACAAGGUAACCGUAGGAGAACCUGCGGUUGGAUCACCUCCUUUCUA
rnacentral:rRNA from 1 species